rnacentral:rRNA from 1 species
UACGUAGGGGGCAAGCGUUGUCCGGAUUCAUUGGGCGUAAAGAGCUCGUAGGCGGCUUGGCAAGUCGGGUGUGAAACCUCCAGGCUCAACCUGGAGACGCCACCCGAUACUGCCAUGGCUAGAGUCCGGUAGGGGACCACGGAAUUCCUGGUGUAGCGGUGAAAUGCGCAGAUAUCAGGAGGAACACCGGUGGCGAAGGCAGGUCUCUGGGCUGACACUGACGCUCAUGCACGAAAGCGUGGGGAGCAAACAGG